GAACUUCUGGCUGUUGCGGUUCAUGGCUUCGGUCGGGAUCGUAGUUGUCAUCCGCUUGGGAAUUCCGUUCGAACUUCACUGUUCGGCGGAGGGAACAGGCAUUUUACUUUGAAAAAAUUAGAGUGUUCAAGGCAGGCUAUCGCCUGAAUACACAAGCAUGGAAUAAUGAAAUAGGACUAGUUCCAUUUUAUUGGUUAUUGGAAUUAGUAAUGAUUAAUAGGGACAGUUGGAGGCAUUAGUAUUUAAUUGUCAGAGGUGAAAUUCUUGGAUUUAUUAAAGACUAACUUAUGCGAAAGUUUGCCAAGGAUGUUUCAUUAAUCAAGAACGAAAGUUAGGGAUCAAAGACGGUCAGAAUACGUCUUGGCUUUACUUUUAACUAUACCGACUAGGGAUUGGCCGGGAUUUUUUAAACCGGUCAGGACCUAUGGGAUUCAAAGGCUAUUGGGUCUGGGGGGAGUUGGGCGAAGGCUUGAAAUUAAAGGGAUUGGAGGAAGGGCACACCAGGGAGUGGGAGGCUGCGGUUUAAUUUGGAUCCACACGGGGGAACUUUCCAGGUCCAGAAUAAGUGGGAUUGGCAGAUUGAGAGCUCUUUUCUUGGAUUCUAUGGGUGGGGGUGCAUUGGCCGUCCUUUAGUUGGUGGAGGGAUUUUG
rnacentral:rRNA from 1 species